UACGGGGGGGGCAAGCGUUGUUCGGAAUUACUGGGCGUAAAGGGCUCGUAGGCGGCCAACUAAGUCAGACGUGAAAUCCCUCGGCUUAACCGGGGAACGGCGUCUGAUACUGGAUGGCUUGAAUCCGGGAGAGGGAUGCGGAAUUCCAGGUGUAGCGGUGAAAUGCGUAGAUAUCAGGAGGAACACCGGUGGUGUAAACGGCUUUCUGGACCAUAACUGACGCUGAGGCACGAAAGCGUGGGUAGCAAACAGG
rnacentral:rRNA from 1 species